rnacentral:rRNA from 1 species
UACGAAGGGGGCUAGCGUUGUUCGGAUUUACUGGGCGUAAAGCGCACGUAGGCGGAUCGAUCAGUCAGGGGUGAAAUCCCAGAGCUCAACUCUGGAACUGCCUUUGAUACUGUCGAUCUGGAGUAUGGAAGAGGUGAGUGGAAUUCCGAGUGUAGAGGCGAAAUUCGUAGAUAUUCGGAGGAACACCAGUGGCGAAGGCGGCUCACUGGUCCAUUACUGACGCUGAGGUGCGAAAGCGUGGGGAGCAAACAGG